CCGACUUUAGCUCAGUUGGAAGAGCAUCAGACUGUAACUGGUUACUGAUUACGUGAUCUGGGUGUCGCCUGUUCGAACCAGGGCAAGUCGGA